CCUACGAGUGUCAGCAGUGAGGAAUAUUGGUCAAUGGGCGCGAGCCUGAACCAGCCAAGUAGCGUGAAGGAUGACUGCCCUACGUGUUGUAAACUUCUUUUAUAAAGGAAUAAAGUGAGGCACGUGUGCCUUUUUGUAUGUACUUUAUGAAUAAGGAUCGGCUAACUCCGUGCCAGCAGCCGCGGUAAUACGGAGGAUCCGAGCGUUAUCCGGAUUUAUUGGGUUUAAAGGGAGCGUAGAUGGGUUGUUAAGUCAGUUGUGAAAGUUUGCGGAUCAACCGUAAAAUUGCAAUUGAUACUGGCAGUCUUGAGUACAGUUGAGGUAGGCGGAAUUCGUGGUGUAGCGGUGAAAUGAUUAGAUAUCACGAAGAACUCCGAUUGCGAAGGCAGCUUACUAAACUGCCACUGACAUUGAUGCUCGAAAGUGUGGGUAUCAAACAGGAUUAGAUACCCCAGUAGUA
rnacentral:rRNA from 1 species